GCGUCCGUAGCUCAGUCGGAUAGAGCAUCAGGCUUCGAACCUGAGGGUCGCACGUUCGAGUCGUGCCGGGCGCA
rnacentral:tRNA from 1 species